UACGGAGGAUCCAAGCGUUAUCCGGAAUCAUUGGGUUUAAAGGGUCCGUAGGCGGUUUUGUAAGUCAGUGGUGAAAGCCCAUCGCUCAACGGUGGAACGGCCAUUGAUACUGCAAGACUUGAAUUAUUAGGAAGUAACUAGAAUAUGUAGUGUAGCGGUGAAAUGCUUAGAGAUUACAUGGAAUACCAAUUGCGAAGGCAGGUUACUACUAAUGGAUUGACGCUGAUGGGCGAAAGCGUGGGGAGCGAACAGG
rnacentral:rRNA from 1 species